GCUGGGCGUGGUGGUGCAUGCCUGUAAUCCCAGAGCUUUGGGAGGCUGAGGUGGGUGGAUCACCUGAAGUCAGGAGUUUGAGAUCAGCCUGACUAACAUGGUGAAACCCCAUCUCUA
ensembl:misc_RNA Metazoa_SRP Metazoan signal recognition particle RNA